AAUUUUGAAUGUGACUGUUUUCAGAGAAAAUUCAGAUAUUUAAAGUUAAAAUUAGUUUCUGAUAAACAUGGCGGCCGUUGCAAUCUGAUGAAACAUUCAGAUUUUUCAACCUUUCGCUCUGGUGAUGAAUCAACGGUAAUGCUGUACUCCGCCGAGCAUGUACGGCAGUCCGCCGCCGAAUCGCCGCACACGCAUCAUCUUCAAGG